rnacentral:rRNA from 1 species
GCGUGAGUGAUGAAGGCCUUAGGGUUGUAAAGCUCUUUCACCCGUGACGAUGAUGACGGUAACGGGAGAAGAAGCCCCGGCUAACUUCGUGCCAGCAGCCGCGGUAAUACGAAGGGGGCAAGCGUUGUUCGGAAUGACUGGGCGUAAAGGGCGCGUAGGCGGUAAGCCAAGUUGGGGGUGAAAUCCCGGGGCUCAACCUCGGAAUUGCCUUCAAAACUGGCUUGCUAGAGUAUGGAAGAGGGUCGUGGAAUUCCCAGUGUAGAGGUGAAAUUCGU